UACGUAGGUGGCAAGCGUUGUCCGGAUUUACUGGGCGUAAAGCGCACGUAGGCGGAUCUUUAAGUCAGAGGUGAAAUCCCAAGGCUCAACCUUGGAACUGCCUUUAAUACUGGCAAUCUCGAGUCCGAGAGAGGUGAGUGGAAUUCCGAGUGUAGAGGUGAAAUUCGUAGAUAUUCGGAGGAACACCAGUGGCGAAGGCGGCUCACUGGCUCGGUACUGACGCUGAGGUGCGAAAGCGUGGGGAGCAAACAGG
rnacentral:rRNA from 1 species